rnacentral:rRNA from 1 species
UGAAAUCCUGCAGCUUAACUGUAGAACUGCCUUUGAUACUGGUUGACUUGAGUUGUACGGAAGUAGAUAGAAUGUGUAGUGUAGCGGUGAAAUGCAUAGAUAUUACUACAGAAUACCGAUUGCGAAGGCAGUCUACUACGUAUAUACUGACGCUCCAUGGACGAAAGCGUGGGGACGCGAACAGGAUUAGACUACCCUGGUAG